ACGUGACGUGCAAGUGCACAAACUCAGCCUCCUUUCUCCUUGCGGCUCCUCUCGCUCUCUCGCCGUCGUAGCCGUUAUCCAUUCCAGUCGUUGGGCUCUGCGCCGUCGGAGGCACAGUCGCUGCACGCACCUGCAUCUGCAUUUCAACUAGAUACGAACCAAUUCAGUUGCCAGCCCGUUCAAGGUCGCGUCUAGACUCAAAGAGUCGAUCACUGCCGCGAAUCUUUCCUUCACCAACGGCGUCGCUACCGUUACAACUCGUGAGAAGGGGAGCUUAGGUGCAAUGGUAAGGUUGUCGCCGUGUGACUUGGAGGUCAUGGGUUCGAGGUGUGGAAACAGUCUCUUGCAAAAAUGCAAGGGUCUUAUAGAGCUAAAGCUAGGGUAGUUAUUUGCUGCAAAUUAUUGUAUAUAUCUUCCUAACUUUGCUUCUGACCUGAAGGAUCCUCCCACACCUAGUGAAAGUCAAUUUUCCCAGAGUGUUUGGUCUAGGAGUCCUAGGUAUGAAAUGAGGGACCAUGCAACUAAGAGACGAGAUGAUACUAAACAUAAAGGCAGGAGGCUAAGACAGAAAUUCAGUGUUUGAGAGUGAAGAGGGGCAUAAUGGAAGAAAAGCAAGUGGUCAACAUGAGCGGGAGUAUGGUGGAGAUUAUGGAAGAAAGAGAAUUUGAAAUGAAGGAUGGAAGGCACAUAUGGCUUCUUUUGCAGAAGAACUUACUAAUGUGAUCACUGAAACUGUGCAAGAGAGAUAAAGUAUAGUUCUAUGGCUUAUGGUUCGCAGAGAUGGAACUAAGAUGACAGUUUCUCAAAGGCAAAAGUUGUCUCUGCAAACUGUUGAUUGUGCUCCGUGGGAAAAUGCACAGCUAUUGCCAUCUGGAGCUGUUAGAGGCACUAAACUGCAUAUAAAUUUGAUGAGUAAGAGCGCAAGAAAUAAAAUCUUCUUUUCCUGGAUGGUGAAGUUGUUUUUACCUAUCAAGCAGUGCAAUAAUGCCAACCAAAGAUCUCACAUUGGAUAUGGCUGUAAUUUCAUGCAAAUGAUCAACUUUAGUAAGGGAAUGCAUGAAACGAAAAGCAUGAACAAAUCACAAAUCAUAAUGACAAUGCUUUUGGAAACUUGCUGGCUGAAAGAUUGUGACAUCCUUGGUGUGGAGAAAACUGUAGAGCGGGCGUGCCCUCCUUUUUUCCACUCUGGAUGAUGUUUCACCUCUUUGACAAUGUGCUAUCAAUCAGGGUCUAAAAUCUUUUCAUCUUAAUGCUAGAUUGAUGUGGAUACUGCUGUCAUAGGUGAAAAGGGUGUAGUUGGUUUUAUGGAGGUUGCAAGGUUUGCCUUGCAUUUGAAGAAGGGGAUGCUGUAAGUAACUUUGCAAAGUCAAAAACCAUCACAGAGCAAUGCCAAUAUCUGCCCACAUAUUCGGUGUGAGAUGAGUUGUUGCAGUACCUGCAUGAAGCUGCGUAUACUGGGUUGCCCUCAGCCAUGAAGAGUGGCAGCUAUGAGUGUUGCAAAAAGAGUCAGUGAAGAGACAGAGACAGAGCUAGGUGAUAACGUUGGUUAUGCUAUUUGUUUCGAAUAUUAACUGGGCCAAAGGUGAUUUUUUUUUGGUUUGUUUUUGUUUUUUCUUCAACUGGAAAUGGAUCUUGUUAAACUUUUGAUAGGCUUUUGUUGCCCAUGUUUUUUCGGUUGAGUUUUUCUGUUUAGAAUGGCUAUUUAAAAUAACUAGUGCAUAUGCUAAACUUGUGUUUAUUUUUAUGUUUUAGUGCAUCCGUCUUGACCUUGAUAUUAUUAUAUGCUGAACCUUUGCAUUUGCAAUUUUCUAGUAUAUGACUGAUGCAGUACUACUGCUGGAAAUGAUGAAAGACUGAUCUUGAGAAGUAUCAGUAUGGGAAGUUAUUACACUCUUUACAUGUCUGUCUCUGUGAAUGUUGACUGUUCAUUUUCUGUUGAAGCUAAAUUAUUUACUUCACUUGCGACUCAUGGAUGAAGUGCAUGGAAGAUCUCUAAGCCUUGAUCUGCUUUUGGGAUACUGUAAAAAAUAGUUGCUCAGAGGCGUGAUUUGCUCAUUGUUAUCUUGGCAACUCUAUAUGCACAGAUCUUUUCAAAUUUCUUUGGGAGACGACCUUUUUUUAUUUGUAAUAUCCAGCUGGGCUGGACCAGCCUGCUCAAAAUGCACCAAUUUUCCACAUUCUAGGGAGAACAAUCCUGUGAAUAUUGUGUAUUGUAGAAUUCCAUGUGAAGAUUAUGUUGAAGCUGCAGUGAAGCAGGCUAUUAUGUUGGUCCACAUUCUAGGGGGACCAACAUAUGCUGUAUGUGCUGGUCGAACUGGACCUGGUGCAUGUUAUCGGUUGUAUGCAGAGAAUGCAUUCCUCGAUAAACUGCUGCCAUUUCCUGUGCUAGAGAUCCAAAAGGACAUGCCUAAGCAAUGUUGUCUUGUCGCUCAAAUCUCUCAACGUGGAGAACAUGCUGGAUUUUCAAUUCAUGGAUGCUUCCUCACAAGAUAACAUUUUAAAUUCUACCUGCCAGUUGUGGAUCUUGGGGCCUGACUGAUCUUGGCUGGAGAAAAGGUUGAAUUCCAAUUGUAUCCCCCGCUUGGAAAGAUGCUCUUGAUGUGCAAAUGCAAACAGCUAGGAUGUCCGGAAGAGGUUGUGAAAAUUGUGUUGAUGCUCUUAGUGUGAUAGUAUUUUUUCUGGCCUAAAGAUCGUGGCUGAUGGGCGCCACACAUAAAAAAUUCCUCGUCCUGAAAUUUUAUCACUCGACACUAUACAAUGUAUACCUGGUGAGAACAAGAAGAUUAUUUAGGAGAAUGAUGCAGCGACCAUUUCUUGCAUGUCACACCCCUGCGGAUGGGUAGAGAGUGGAUAACCUAGAAAUGCUUGAUGUUCCAUUAGCAUCAUGUUGGCUCCAUAUGGGCAUCAUCAGAAAAGCUAUCUGUUUGGUGUAAAUCAAAAUGCAGCGAAGUCAAAGGCUGCUGCCAAGUACGUUGAUUGCAGGAAUGGAAUGCAUGCUGUCUACACCUAAGCACUGCUCUAUCUGGUAUGGAUUGUAUCACAGACUUGGUUUAUUUUUUAUUUUUUUUUUUCUUCCGGUUAAAUUGGCUUUGUUUUACCAUGAGCUGAUUUUGACAAGGAGUACUUGCAGUUUGAGAGAUAGUAGUAUAGUCCCAGUGGCUGGUUGAAGCCCAACGCAAAUAGAAUUUGAUGUAAAAUAUGUAAAUAUUUUUGUACAUGCAUUCGCAUGAAAAUAAGAUCAGUUAUAAUAUAAGACAUUUAAACAA